rnacentral:piRNA from 1 species
UGACAUCAGAUGGGUCCUUUCCC